rnacentral:rRNA from 1 species
UGCCUACGGGGCGCAGCAGUGAGGAAUAUUGGUCAAUGGGCGAAAGCCUGAUGGAGCAACGCCGCGUGGGUGAAGAAGGUCUUCGGAUCGUAAAACCCUGUUGUUAGAGAAGAAAGUGCGUGAGAGUAACUGUUCACGUUUCGACGGUAUCUAACCAGAAAGCCACGGCUAACUACGUGCCAGCAGCCGCGGUAAUACGUAGGUGGCAAGCGUUAUCCGGAUUUAUUGGGCGUAAAGGGAACGCAGGCGGUCUUUUAAG